GACGAACCGUGCAAACGUUAUUCGGAAUCACUGGGCAUAAAGGGCGCGUAGGCGGCUUUCUAAGUCAGGGGUGAAAUCCGGCAGCUCAACUGUCGCAGUGCCUUUGAUACUGGAGAGCUCGAGGGAGGUAGGGGUCUGUGGAACUUCCGGUGGAGCGGUGAAAUGCGUUGAUAUCGGAAGGAACGCCGGUGGCGAAAGCGACGGACUGGAUCUCUUCUGACGCUGAGGCGCGAAAGCCAGGGGAGCAAAGCGGG
rnacentral:rRNA from 1 species